AAAAAUAUCCCGAAUGAACUUGUCAAUAUUUCCCUGGAUGGUUCCACCAUCAAUUGCUUGUAGGCAGGUGUUCCUUAUUUCCAUUGCUCUUCUUCUCAUUUCUUUUCCUUCGUAGCUGUCAAGGUCCAUAAAACUCUGCAAAAGCAGAGCAAUUUCAUCUCUCUUAACCAAUUUCUC